CCUACGGGUGGCUGCAGUAGGGAAUCUUCCACAAUGGGCGAAAGCCUGAUGGAGCAACGCCGCGUGGGUGAAGAAGGUCUUCGGAUCGUAAAACCCUGUUGUUAGAGAAGAAAGUGCGUGAGAGUAACUGUUCCCGUUCUGACGGUACCUAACCAGAAAGCCACGGCUAACUACGUGCCAGCAGCCGCGGGAAUACGUAGGUGGCAAGCGUUAGCCGGAUUGAUGGGGCGUAAAGGGAACGCAGCCGGUCUUGUAAGUCUGAUGUGAAAGCCUUCGGCUUAACUUCGGUUCGGCAUUGGAUACUGGCAGACUAGAGUGUGGUAGAGGUAAAGGGAAUUCCUGGUGUAGCGGUGAAAUGCGUAGAUAUCAGGAGGAACAUCGGUGGCGAAAGCGCUUUACUGGACCGUUAUUGACGCUGAGGAACGAAAGCCAGGGGAGCAAAUGGGAUUAGAUACCCGUGUAGUC
rnacentral:rRNA from 1 species